UUUCUGAGUGAUGAGGAUUUUUACCGCCCCAGUCUGACCUUAUGCUGACUGAUUGGAUUUUCUCUGACAGAAC